rnacentral:rRNA from 1 species
AACGCGAAGAACCUUACCUGGUCUUGACAUCCACAGAACUUUCCAGAGAUGGAUUGGUGCCUUCGGGAACUGUGAGACAGGUGCUGCAUGGCUGUCGUCAGCUCGUGUUGUGAAAUGUUGGGUUAAGUCCCGCAACGAGCGCAACCCUUAUCCUUUGUUGCCAGCGGUUAGGCCGGGAACUCAAAGGAGACUGCCAGUGAUAAACUGGAGGAAGGUGGGGAUGACGUCAAGUCAUCAUGGCCCUUACGACCAGGGCUACACACGUGCUACAAUGGCAUAUACAAAGAGAAGCGACCUCGCGAGAGCAAGCGGACCUCAUAAAGUAUGUCGUAGUCCGGAUUGGAGUCUGCAACUCGACUCCAUGAAGUCGGAAUCGCUAGUAAUCGUAGAUCAGAAUGCUACGGUGAAUACGUUCCCGGGUCUUGUACACACCG